UACGGAGGAUCCAAGCGUUAUCCGGAUUUAUUGGGUUUAAAGGGUGCGUAGGCGGUUCUAUAAGUCAGUGGUGAAAUCCGGCAGCUUAACUGUCGAUGUGCCAUUGAUACUGCAGGACUUGAGUACAGACGAGGUAGGCGGAAUUGACGGUGUAGCGGUGAAAUGCUUAGAUAUCGUCAAGAACACCGAUAGCGAAGGCAGCUUACUAGACUGUAACUGACGCUGAUGCACGAAAGUGUGGGGAUCAAACAGG
rnacentral:rRNA from 1 species